CAUUAGGUGGCUGAAAGUAAGCAACGGUCUCUUAAACCGCCCCAUAGUAAAUAACAUAUACUUCUAAUG
rnacentral:tRNA from 1 species